rnacentral:SRP_RNA from 13 species
AAUGUGGACCCUCAACAAGGCUUCUGAAGAGAGCAGUGGGAAGCAGUGCUCACUGUAAGCUGAGGGGCACCCCAGUCGGAAUGCCAACUUU